CCCCUAGACGUUCUGGGCUGCACGCGCGCUACAAUAAUACGCACAGCGAGUAUCACCGAGCUCGAAAGGGCAAGGUAAACAAUAGAAAAGGUACUGUAAUGGUUAUAGAUCCUUGUAAUUAUUGAUCUUCAACGAGGAAUUCCUAGUAAGUAUGUGUCAUCAUCACGCACUGAUUACGUCCCUGCCCUUUGUACACACCGCCCAUCGCUCCUACCGAUUGGGUGAGCCGAUGAAACUCUCGGAUGUAGGCUAUUCAUAGCCCGCAGAAGAGAUUUGAAUCGUAGCGCUUAGAGGAAGGAGAAGUCGUAACA
rnacentral:rRNA from 1 species